AACAGAAAUGUUAUUAUAAUUCAUUUUUAGUCUAAAUGACCUUGUGGUUCAUGUCACGUGCAAAAAGCGCGCGCGCUUUUCUCUCUCUCUCAGUGAGCCAGAGAGACGUUAGCUCUUCUAAACUUAACAACAACAACAAAAAAAAAAACCGUUUAUAAGAAUUUAAGCUUGUUAAUUCAUAUCAUUGGAAGUUUCUCCCCACUGUUUCAGGACUUACAGCCAGGGCAAAGGUAGAAAAGAGAAGGUCAUGAGGUUGAAACAGGAACAUGCACGUGCGUGAUAUAAGGAUAUGCCAUUGGCAGCUCUUGCUUUCAUUCAGUGAUAACAGAACCCCUGGAGAGUAGCACUCUGGACAAUGACAUGAUGAUCAUAGGGGGCACAGAGGAAAGGAUUUGUGCCAGCUGGGAUGGCCUGGAGAACCCCAUUAAAGUUGUGCUUCACUGGGAUUUUAAUGGCGCAAAGAUCGCUUUUCAUUGAACAAGAAGCUCUAAACACAUCAUUUUGGGUCCUGCAGGACACUGUGCUUCUAUGGGAAUCUACGAGAGCAUCAUGAGCACUGUUUGCAUUGGAAAAAAAAGAUUUUUCAUUGGACACUGGGCUUUCAAUCACUGUAUUUUUAUCUUGCCUGGAAGCUCUACUUCUCACAUGAAACACAUGGACACUAAUCAAUAUGGUGAUGAAUGACUUCUUCAAUGUACAGUAGUGAUUCUCAGUCCUGGUCCAGGAGGCUCCCCAAAACUGCACAAUUUGGAUGCAUCCCUAAUCAGUCACACCAAAUUCAACUAAUUUGUACAGUACUUCAUGUCCUGAAAUGGGUGUAUUAAAUAAGGGAGACCAGUAUUGGCAUUUAAUUGCCAAAUUAACUUAACAUUUAAUAUUGCAUUUAAUUUAUUUCAUAUUCUUAUUUCUUGCAUAUUUCCAUUUAAGCAUUUUAUUAGGUUUACUAUCUAUCUAUCUAUCUAUCUAUCUAUCUAUCUAUCUAUCUAUCUAUCUACUGAUUUCCAUUUGUGUUCUUUCCAAGGUGUAAAUCUGAAGUUCUUCUCUUCCCUCUUUGUGCAAGGCAAUUUAUUAAUGAGAUGUUAUCUAAUAUGGCAACCUUCACAAUCGAUUUGUCACACUAAAUUUAUAAAGACAUACAGAUAUGAUACCAGGGUAUGAAAAACAUAUCAUGAAUGCUGAUUGGUAUAAUAAUGGAAAAUGAAAUGACAAGUUUAAUUGUAGUAAACAGGAUAAGAAUGUGAGCAAUGUUUUCAUUUGGUAAUUGUGUUUUACAUAUACAUAUACAUUAUUCACAUAUGCAUUUUAAAAUCUAUCUUCAGGUUACAGUGGUUGACCUUGCAUAACAGCCCUGAUAGACAGAUGAAUGGCAUUGAAUUGCCAACAGUGGAAAGCAAUAAAAGAUUCAAACUGAAGCCUAUGAGGGUACAUUCACUCCAACAUAGGUAUUACACCUAUAUUUCUUUGGAUUAAUUAAGUUAUCCUGAGAGGAUAAUAAUUAUGCUCAUUGAUAGAAAAGGCAAAAACAGUCAUUAGUGGGAGAGAGAAGAAUUCCAUGGAGCAUUUUGUUUAAACCGCAUGAACCACAUUCACCCUGAGGCAAUACGCUACUCGCAUUGUGUCGUUUUUGGAGACUGUCUGUCAAAGCUGAAAAGUUUAAAAAGAUUUGAGACAGAAAAAUAAUAUAUUAGGUUAGACUGUAGGAAGUGUCAGGCUCCUUUUCACAAUGCCGAGACGACGUCUGACGUCUGUCUAUCUGUGAAUACACUGUGCCACUCCAGCUGUGAAGCCCCUCUAAAAUCAAUUUUCUCUGAAUGUUUGCAGCCUUGACCUCUAUCAGCAAACAGGCAUCAGCCGUGGUUGACACCGACUUGCUUUUACUAGAAAGAACAGCUCAGACUCUGGCUCAGAGACGUUAUGCUUUCUUAUUGAAUCCCACUGGCUUUUAUUUAUAGUGUUUUCAUAUACUUUUAUAGUUCAUGUGAUUUGAUUGUGCUUGACAUUGGGCUACUUUGAGGCAAUGGCCUACAUCACAGUAAGAAAGAGCUUUAUGUGAAAGUUUGUCAUUUUAUCUUCAAUGAGAAAAGUGCCUGGAUUAUUUUAGACACUUGGGUCCAGGGCUGGUAAUGCUGAACGAUCCAUUUAGGUUGUGCAUCUAGACGUUUGCACUAAAAAUGGGCUAUUCAUAGACAGCAUUUUUUUCUGCAGCUGCAUUUGUCUUAUCUGGUCCUCUCUCUCUCACUCACUCAAGAAUAAAAUCAUUCUCUUUCAGCUUCUCUUGCCUCUUCUCAUGUGUAUCUCUUAACACUCCAUCUUUCACAAUCUAUUCUGUCACUCCUCACUACACGGAAAGUAAAUCUCUCUCUCUCUGUCUGUCCACAUCUGAUCACCCUCUGAUGAAUUGACUUCAAUCAGUGCUCACUCAAGCAAUACAUUAAUGCACAUAGACAUCAUGUUUCAACUGAUAUUUAUGAUAGUAAUUGUAGGCGAGACAUAUAGGAAGCAUUGUGGUUACUGACUGCGCACUGGGAGUAGUUAUUGGAGGUGGAUUGAGUGGACGGGGAAGCGGAAGCUGUUAUUGGUAGAGAGAGAUGAAAAAGGGCAGAAAAAAUAGAGCAGUAGAAAAGCUUUACAUGCAAUGGUAGAAACACUUUUAAAUCUGAGAAUAAAUCAAAAUCAGAAACUUGUUAUUAAGGAGUGUCCCUAUUUGUUUUCGAUUGCUUGAUGCAUUCAUAUAAAAUUCAGCUCAUGUGCAGUGGCUUUGAAUGUGGCUCAUUGUGCUUUUGUAAUAUUACUUUAUUUUUGUUUUUAACUCGUGUUACAUAAAGAUGCUUGGCACUGAUGCCAGAUUUAUAAUUCAUUUGUUAUGAAUAAUUAUCUUUUGGAUGGCAUCCAUCAACUUCCAAAUAAAAAGAGAAAAUAAUGAAAUGAUAUGAAGUACCUUUUGUUAAAUAUUUAAUCUAGACAGUCCAAAAAAAUCUAUUAUUGAAUUUUAAGCCAUUGUAUAUGGCAGCUGUCACCCUGUGGCACAAGACUGGUUUCCCACUGUAGCUAAGCAGGGUUGAGCCUGGUCAGUACCUGGAUGGGAGACCUCCUGGGAAAACUAGGUUGUUGCUGGAAGAGGUGUUCGAAUGAGACGUUAAACCAAGGUCCUGACUCUCUGUGGUCAUAAAAAAUGUCCUUUGAAAAAGAGUAGGGGUUUAAUCCCGGCAUCCUGGCCAAAUUUGCCUAUUGGCCUCUGUCAAUUAUGGCCUCCUUAUCAUCCCCAUACACUGAUUGGCUUCAUCUCUCUGUCUCCUCUCCACCAAUAAGCUGGUGUGUGGUGGGCGUUCUGGCGCAAUAUGGCUGUCGUCGCAUCAUCCAGGUAGAUGCUGCACACAGGUGGGGGUUGAGGAGAUUCCCCCUUCCAUAUGUAAAAAGUGCUUUGAGUACCCAGAAAAGCGCUAUAUAAAUGUAACAAAUUACUAUUACUUAGUCCCCCCUGAGGUAGUUGGUACAAUACAGCCUCCUGUAGUGUAUUAAGCACUAAGCAGUAAACAGAAUGCACUCUUGCAUAGGUCAUUUGUUUUUGUAGGGCUGAUAAAAAACAAAAGGUAUUUGGUCACAAUCAGCUGCAAAACUGAAAAGCAUCUCUUGUGUUACGAAAGUACAAAAUAAAUAGAAUAAUGUCCACUACACAAAUCGGAACAAUGCAAAUGUCUUAUUAAAACAGCGGAAACAACUUAAAAUACUCCGUCGUUUAUGGUCAUAUCCAAUAUACUGUAGGAUCUUUUAAAACUGUAAAGGGUCUAUUUUUAAACAAACAUGAUGCCGCUUUCUGCUGUCCCGGUUUCCUUUCCUUGAAGUUUGUGUAACACUCACAAAAAUUAAUGGAAUCUCAGCGUAUAGGCUACUAGCAAACUCUUGCGUGCCAUUCUGAACUUCUGAACUUUUGCAUAGAUCAUCUCUUUUUCUGCUCUUUUUCCUGUUGUGGCAGUUAGCAAACAACAUUGCAUUACCGUGCAUGCCCCCUUCUAGAUUGAAGUGUGCAUCACCUAUGACUGACUGUAUUCAUCGUUUGACUAUGCACCGAACUGUGCCACCUGUACUGUGGCGGUUCAGGACGAAUGUCUGCAGGGCUGUCAAGUCAUCAAAAUGUUUAAUCUAAUUAAUCGCACAUCAAAUUUGGCUGAGA